rnacentral:rRNA from 1 species
UGGGGAAUCUUGCACAAUGGGGGCAACCCUGAUGCAGCGACGCCGCGUGAGCGAUGAAGCCCUUCGGGGUGUAAAGCUCUUUCGACGGGAACGAUAAUGACGGUACCCGGAGAAGAAGCUGCGGCUAACUACGUGCCAGCAGCCGCGGUAAUACGUAGGCAGCAAGCGUUGUUCGGAGUUACUGGGCGUAAAGAGUGCGUAGGCGGUUUUCCAAGUCUGUCGUGAAAUCUCCCGGCUUAACCGGGAGGGUGCGGUGGAAACUGGGAGGCUCGAGUGUGGGAGAGGUAAGCGGAAUUCCUGGUGUAGCGGUGAAAUGCGUAGAUAUCAGGAGGAACACCGGUGGUGUAGACGGCUUACUGGACCACGACUGACGCUGAGGCACGAAAGCGUGGGUAGCAAACA